rnacentral:rRNA from 1 species
UACAGAGGUGGCAAGCGUUGUUCGGAAUUACUGGGCGUAAAGGGCGCGUAGGCGGUCUUGUAAGUCUUGUGUGAAAUCCCUCGGCUUAACUGAGGAACUGCACGGGAUACUGCGAGACUUGAGAUCGGGAGAGGGAAGCGGAAUUCCGGGUGUAGCGGUGAAAUGCGUAGAUAUCAGGAGGAAUACCGGUGGCGAAAGCGACUCUCUGGACCGACACUGACGCUGAGGCGCGAAAGCUAGGGGAGCAAACGGG